GCGCACUCGCUCGCUGGUCGAGUGGGGGAGAUGAUGCCGUCAACUCUCUAUGGGUCUGUGUGUGCAAUGCUGCGAUCAAGCACAUUCAUAUGUCCAGUUACCCAAGCGAAACAGUGGAGUUUGAAUGAAUGAUGAGACCACGUACGAGAUGCAGAACUGGGUUGCUUCUGACCCAGAAUCUGUGCUGGUGGAACUCAUUGCUGAUGUCCCCUGGAGUGUCAGCACUGGCUGUUCUAGUUCUUCAAAAGAAGGCCAUUUUCUGAGGUUUCACUCCAAGCAUCUGCAAUGCAAGUUGUUGAGAAUUAGGACUUUGAAGGACAAGGUCUUUGGCAUGCUUGUCCAUUAAAAAGUCUCCAGCGUGUUUGCAUGUUUUCCAAAGGUCUGUUUAAUGUUUUUGUCAAAUCCUGCUUUUGUUUAAUCCACUUCCUUCCACAAUGUGGUUUAGUUCUUUUCUAAUUAAAUGAACAUAAGUGAAAUCUUGUGAUCCACUUGUGUGUUUAGGACUUUGGGGAGCAACCUCUUGCUUUCUGCCCAGUGACAAGUGAUGACCUAUUUUCCUCAGUCUCCAAACAGCACUGCGCUCAGCAGAAAUUAAGAGGAAAGGCAUUGCUAACACAGUGUCCAGAUGCGAUGGACUGCAUUGAUAACCAAUGAAUUGGUUCCCCCCCUCCCCCAUGCAAUUAAGAGGUUUUGUUUUAACCAGCCACAAUGAGCUGCAAGACAUUUUGUUUAUCGGCUUAUACUGUAUUUCUGUAGCAUCACACUGGGUAGCCCCGCCCACAGUGGAAUCCCAUUGGCCAAAUCCUGCUCUGCAUAACUGUACUGUAUAUCAAACAUUAAAUAUGUCCUGACUGACUGUGAUUUCAAUUUCAUUGUGGCAGACUGUGCCUGUUAAAGACAUGGUUGUUGUACAAACUUAUGUUGUAUUGAUUAAAUUGACAUCAAAAUGAGGUCAUGAUAAAAUUACAUUUAAAUGGC
rnacentral:lncRNA from 1 species